CUGCCAGUAGUCAUAUGCUUGUCUCAAAGAUUAAGCCAUGCAUGUCUCAGUACAAGCCAUAUUAAGGUGAAACCGCGAAAGGCUCAUUAAAUCAGUUAUGGUUCCUUAGAUCGUACCCACAUUUACUUGGAUAACUGUGGUAAUUCUAGAGCUAAUACAUGCAAACAGAGCUCCGACCGGAGACGGAAGGAGUGCUUUUAUUAGAUCAAAACCAAUCGGCGGCAAUUGNGUUUACUUAAUUGUUCGUCGCACUAUUUGGUGACUCUGAAUAACUUUUGGCUGAUCGCACGGUCUCGCACCGGCGACGCAUCUUUCAAAUGUCUGCCUUAUCAACUGUCGAUGGUAGGUUCUGCGCCUACCAUGGUUGUAACGGGUAACGGGGAAUUAGGGUUCGAUUCCGGAGAGGGAGCCUGAGAAACGGCUACCACAUCCAAGGAAGGCAGCAGGCGCGCAAAUUACCCACUCCCGGCACGGGGAGGUAGUGACGAAAAAUAACGAUACGGGACUCAUCCGAGGCCCCGUAAUCGGAAUGAGUACACUUUAAAUCCUUUAACAAGGACCAAUUGGAGGGUAAGUCUGGUGCCAGCAGCCGCGGUAAUUCCAGCUCCAAUAGCGUAUA
rnacentral:rRNA from 1 species